AAACUCAAAUGAAGUUGACGGGGAGCACCACAACGGGUGGAGCUUGCGGUUUAAUUGGAUUCAACGCCGGAAAUCUUACCGGGACCGACAGCAAUAUGAAGGCCAGGCUGAAGACUUUGCCGGAUUAGCUGAGAGGUGGUGCAUGGCCGUCGUCAGUUCGUACUGUGAAGCAUCCUGUUAAGUCAGGCAACGAGCGAGACCCACGUCCACAGUUGCCAGCAUACCCUCCGGGGUGAUGGGUACACUGUGGAGACCGCCGCUGCUAAAGCGGAGGAAGGAAUGGGCAACGGUAGGUCAGUAUGCCCCGAAUCUCCCGGGCUACACGCGGGCUACAAUGGUUGGUACAAUGGGCAUCUACCCCGAAAGGGGAAGGAAAUCUCUUAAAGCCAAUCGUAGUUCGGAUUGAGGGCUGCAACUCGCCCUCAUGAAGCUGGAAUCCGUAGUAAUCGCGUUUCAACAGAACGCGGUGAAUACGUCCCUGCUCCUU
rnacentral:rRNA from 1 species